rnacentral:rRNA from 1 species
AGCCUGAUGCAGCCAUGCCGCGUGUAUGAAGAAGGCCUUCGGGUUGUAAAGUACUUUCAGCGGGGAGGAAGGNGUUNAGGUUAAUAACCUUCUCAAUUGACGUUACCCGCAGANNAAGCACCGGCUAACUCCGUGCCAGC